UACGGAGGGUGCGAGCGUUAAUCGGAAUUACUGGGCGUAAAGCGCACGCAGGCGGUUUGUUAAGCUAGAUGUGAAAGCCCCGGGCUCAACCUGGGAUGGUCAUUUAGAACUGGCUGACUAGAGUCUUGGAGAGGGGAGUGGAAUUCCAGGUGUAGCGGUGAAAUGCGUAGAUAUCUGGAGGAACAUCAGUGGCGAAGGCGACUCCCUGGCCAAAGUCUGACGCUCAUGUGCGAAAGUGUGGGUAGCGAACAGG
rnacentral:rRNA from 1 species